ensembl:lncRNA
CAAGAAACGUUAAAAACCCCCAAAAACCUCCUGCCACCACCACAACAAAACCCAUAAAUAAGAAAUAAACAACAACCCAAAACAAACAAAUUAAAAAACUCAAAAAAAUCCCACAACCAACUAACCAGCCAACAAAACCCACAAACAAACAAACAAUGCCCAAUACCCCAAAAAGGAGCAUAAAAUAUCUAUUUCUUUACGCACAUUAUUUUGUGUUUGGAUUGGUGCUGUUGUAUUGACACAGAAAAUAUUUUCACAACAGAGUAGUUGUCUUGUGAGAUUGGAUGUCUGUCUUCUCAUUAUUGGAAAGGGAUAGACUGUAUCUUUGCCUAGAUCUUGCAUUCUAAAGUCUGUACUUAUUUUAAAAAGGACUCAAAUGUAAUUUUUUUUUUUUUUUAGUGUGAAGUGCUGAAAUUUUUAUUGCCAGCGUGUCUUAUGAGCCAAUCAAUUUGCACAGAGCUUUGGAAGACUUGCCUAGAGUAGGAAUCUGCUCUAUACUGUGAAUUCUAAGGAGUAUGUACUCAUACUAAUGUAAAGGAUGACUCUUCCACAAUUCAUAGGAUUAUGACAUGUAGAAGCAAUCCUUCAGCUAUAGGGCUGGCUAGACCAUCAGUAGACUUGUAAUGUGUUUGUUUAUGAAAUGCUUAUGAAGGCCUUUCCUCUAAAACCUUUACUCAAAAUGAAUUGAGUUUGCUGCAAAUAUAUAGUGGUAUAUGUGCUCUGCAAUAAUGGAAACAUUUCAAUCAGUACAUAUAUGUGUGUGUGUGUGUAUAUAUAUAUAUAUAUAUAUGUAUAUAUCUGUGUGUGUGUGUAUAUGUAAUGUAUUGUUUGAAUAUAUUUCAUGUUCAUUCCAUGUACAUAUGCCUACAAAGUCAAGUGCUUUUUAUGUGAUAGAUGCUAGAUAGAUAGAUAGAUAGAUAGAUAGAUAGAUAGAUAGAUAGAUUCAGAAUCAUUCUUCUUCUUCUUUUGGGUUAACCCUGAUAGCCAGGAAUGGGAACCUCAUGAGAUUCAGAAAGGCCACAUGCACAUUCCUCCACCUGAUCGGGGCAACCCCCAGUAUGAACAGAUGCUGUGGGAUGAAGAGAUUUAGAAUAGCCCGACAAGAAGGACUUGGGGGUGCUGGUGUAUGGAAAGUUAGAUAUGAGCUGGAAAUAUGCAAUUUUGGCCCAGAAACCAAAUAGAUCCUGGACUGAAUAGGAAGAAACAAAAAUUACUCAAGCAAAUGGUAAAAUAACUCUAUUUCAAAUAUUGCAUCUUAACAUUUACUUUGAUAGCUCAAGAUGAACAAUGCUUUAGGAAAUGGGGACAAGACCCCAGGGAUUGUUCAGUGUGGAAGAUGAAUUCUUAAUAAAUAACAGUUUCCUGCUUGAACAUAUUUUCUUAUGUUUCCCAUCACUUACUAAGUGAUAGAAUGCUGAAAGUCAAACAAUUUUUCUACUAAGUCAUAUUGUCUGCUUAUAUCUGAACUGUUCAUUUUGCAGUGUAGUAUCUCAAACUCUUUUAUGAAGUUAAUAGCAAUAUCUGCCUGAGGCAACAUGCUCAGAAGCCUUCUACAUGGACUUCAGAAGAGGGAUUACCACCAAGGAGCAUUUCAGCAGUUCAAAUUGCAGAUUUCACAUAUGCUGGCAGCAAGGCUUUGCUGAGUGUUUUAAACAUAGGAGCAAGGUGCUCUGGAGUUGACAUCACCAGGUCAGGGUGAGGUCUGCUUAAAUCAGGUUUGCUAUAAAAUUCUCAGGUCUUUUCCUUCUUGCCUGUGAACCACUCCUGCGGUUUUUUCUCUUCACAUUUUGAGCUAAUUGUACUGCUUCAGUCAAAGGCAAUAAUUUGUGUUAGCACAGAAAAAAAUCUUUUUUUCAAUAGAGCAUCCACAACAUGGUAUUUCUCAUUGCAGUCAAGUGCUGUAGCUCUUCCUUCAUAGAGGGUGGUACAUAGUUCAGCCAACGUGAUCCCAGCUCACAGCCAUGUUUCAGAAAGCGUACUUUGGUCAGAAUGGAUCUGUUUGCAUUUUUGCCCUCUGUGCAGUGUCUGUUUUUAAAGACACAUUUCAGCCAGCAGUGUAGAUGCAUCCAAAGCAUUUAGAGCAGUCUGUAAGAGCAAAACUGAACAAACGAUCAUGAUGCACCCCAUAAUAAUAUAGAAACUUUUGUAAUUUGAGUAAAAAUCAAGCCCAGGUUUUGUUUGAAAAUUAGUGCAGAUGCAAUUAAAUAAGGUAGAUAUUGUUGUCAUGCAAUGCUUCUUAAAGUUGUCAUGUUUGUGCUAUACUCUUUUAGUUCUACAGAUAGAAACUAUAUUUGGGGUUAUCCUUCCUAUAGGUUUUUGUGCCUUAGCUUUUGGUUUUGCUUUUGUUUUGGGCUUUUAGUUUGGUUUGGAGGGGUGUUUUUUGGUUUUUGUUUGUUUUGUGCUUUUGUUGUUUGUUUGUUUUGUUUGUUAGCUUGUUCUUUUUUAACUGGGAGAUAAUUAUUUUGUUAAUGAGGGAGUAGAUUAGACGCUUGCAAAAAAAUGGAAUUUUGAAUGUUGAUGUCAUGUCAGGCUAUGUGAGUGCAAAAGUACAGAAGCACAGUGGGGGAUCAGAUCCAGUAGUUGACAGCUAAAAAAUAUGGGUUUUAUUAGUAGAGAUUUAAUGCCAUAUAAAUCUUUCUAUUUUUUUUGUUUUCAUAUAUUAGUCUUGAAAGACAGAACAAUGGGCUCAUAUUUUGCUAGUGGGUUUUUUUUUUUUUCAAACUGCAGAAAUGUCUAAAUUGUAAAGUAAUGCAUUGAAACAUCUUGAUGGAAUUAAAACUAUGUAAUUCCAUUAUUAGAGGGCUCUUGGUUUGCUUAAGGAUAUAUAGCAACAAAAGCCAAAUAGGCAGUUAUAAUCUGUUAUGUAGUGAAUACAGCUAGUAGAGAAGGUAUCCUCUACCACCAGCUUCUUAAAAUUAAAUCUACAUUUUAUUAAAGUAAGUCCAUGUAAUAUUAUAUACUUUUAUUUCAUUAUGGAGCUUGGAGAUAAACUUUUUCUUUGAACUUUGUGGGAGGGGAGGUAAAAAACCCGACUUCCACAAUUUCAAGGACAAAGCAAAGCAUAGUCUUUUCAUUUUCAGGAUCUUUUUAAGUGAAAGAGGGUCAUGUCAUUUGUAUGCUGACAUCCUUCCUAUUGUUUUCAUUAAAGAAAGAAGAGUGAGAGUCUGAGAAAUCUUGAGCUGUGCCUGAUAAGAAAUUUUUAAAAGAUGACCCCAACCUGUGGAAGAUGAUUUAUGAAAUCAUGGUUUUCAUUAUUAGAGUUAGUGCUGACUCUGUUGUUUUUGAUUGAUAUACCUGGAGCUUAUAGGCUUCAUUUUUUCUCUUAAGCAAAGAGCAAGGGCAUUGGAAUUUUACUGGAGAACAAAGUUAUGUAAAAGACAUCCAGGCACCAAAACAGGUAUCACUAAAGAUGAAAGGGUGACAGAGAAACAUCAGUCAUGCUUUUUAAGUUCCUAUGUAACAUAUAUAAAGCUUAAGAUUUUAACAAAACUUUAGGGACAACAAUAUUGGAAAAAAAGAGCGUAAUUUACUUUUUAUACACAAUCACUGAUGUAAGAUAUUACAAGUAAUUUGAUUCCCUUCUCCAUAUCUGUCACUAAAAAUGAAAAGAUAAUAAAAAGUCCCCUUAAAAUUUCCUCCCCUGCAACAGAAAUUCCAAAUGCAAAAACUGCAAGAAAAUAUUGUAGUUCUAUAUACUAUAUUGGUAUAUGUGUGGUGCCUAAAUUGACAACGCAGUGCAUAUCUCUGCUAUUGAGGUUACAAAAAGAUAUGCUUGCUCUUGAAAACACUUAAGAUGUCUAAACUGAGCUGACAGCAAAAUAUAUGCUAUAUUAAGAUGUAGUUUACAUUUCAUGAAUAGUUCACCCAUCCUGUUGUCAAUGUCCAGGUAAAUGUCAGUGUAAUUUGUUUCUCAUUAUUAAAAGUCCAAAUUGUCAGAAUAAUAUUUCUCUUUCAAAAACAAAGCAAAACAAAAUGUCCUAAAAUUUUUGUCUUGUAUCAAACUCAAACUACAGAGAGAGACAGUUACUUUGUUUGGAGAACUAAGGAAAAAAAUUAUAAAUGUGUUUUUAUUAAAUGAAAUUUUUGGCUGAGAGUGAAGCAUAUUGAUAGGAAGCAAGGUAAGAAUGUGUUCUACAGUAAUAUUUUCUUUAGUUGUUAUUACAAUCUUGUUUGCUGAGGAUUCUUGUGCAAGUUAAGUUAUGGAGGAACAUAAUACUUUAAGAGAAGAAUUAUAUUACGACUUACCUGUCAGGGUCCAAAAUCACAGAAUCAUAGAGUCAUAAAGUUAGAAGGGACCUUAAAGAUCACCUAGUUCCAACAUCCCUGCCCUAGGCAUGGGCAGCUUCCACUAGACCAGGCUACUUCUAGCCAUGUAUUUUUUUUUUUUCUUGUGAUACUUAGUUUUACAAGUAAUGAUAAGUUAUGGCAUCCAUUGCUAAACAUCAUGCAGCUGAGGUAAAGGACUGUACAUUGGAGUUUCCAUUCUCAUUUAUCUCUAGUUUAAAAAAUCCAUUUACAGUAGAAGCUGCUGGAAAUUACUGGAAAGCACAGUGGAAGCUAGAUCUAGAAUGAAACUACUACUACCACAGCCAGAACAUGUUCUCACAAAUCAGUUUACCUGCACUUCCUGUUAGCUAAGAACAAAUGACUGGUUACAGAUAGGUUGUCUGUAAAACCUCAUCUGCUGGAUCUUAUGGCUGAGCCUUAAGGAAGCCUUAUUGCACCAGUAAGACUUAAAGUACGCAUGACCACCUAAAAAUAAAAGGAGAAAAGGGAGAUGUGGAGACAUGAAGAAUAGAAAAGGUUGGUUUUUUUUUUUUUGUGAGAGGUUUACUUACACCAUUUACUGCAUAUGUAUGAAUAUUAUGUAUAUAACAGUUUUCAGACACCAAAGCAUUAAUAAUUCUGUUAUUGAAUUGUGUUGUGUAAUAUUAGCUUAAUGGUGUAAGUCAAAACCUAAUAAGCCACAAUCUGAGCUACAGAUUUUGAGGAAAACACUUAAGACAUUAGCUGCACUCUGCACUGCACACAAUGCAUAGUGUCACUUGCAUUAUUAAUAAAGUUCAAUAAAAAUACAAGAAUCCUGGUGUAUUUUUAGUACAUGCAAAACUUUUCUACUUUUGAGAGAUUUAUGUUUUGUAUGGUAUGAGCAAAUUGCUGCUCUGAAAUGCUACUAAUAGUAAUUAGAGUAUUGCAGAAAUUUCUUUGUGGAACUGUCCCUUUUUAGCAUGGAUUCUAAAUAGUGCCCAUAAUUGCAGUGCUAAGCAUAGUACUAAAUAGUCAUUAUGGAGAGGUAUGUAAGUGAGGAAUUGGUGAACUUUAGGAACGUGAAAAUAUGAUCUUCACACUUCAAUUAAGCAUCAGAAAUUUUCUUUAAUCAUUAAAAUACUGAAAUGCACCAUUCUUUAAUGCCUAUUUGGGUUUUAUUGGUUCAUUUCUUAAAAAGAAAAAAAGAUGCAUUUUUUGUUCAAUUCUCUUUGCAUGCAUGAAUUUUCUUUUGACAGACUAAGUACACAAUUCAAUCAGGUUUUGUAAUCUUUUCACUGUGACUUUUAUUGAAGCAAGCUAUACUGAACUGUAUUCAAUAUUGGAGAGUACAAAUUUCAACUUUAUUUUAACACGCAGUCUUUUAAAUGAGUAAGAGUUUUGGAGACCAUAAAUGGUAGCUUGAUUGAUAUUUAGCUUCUAAUACAAAACUCUCUCUGGGCUGGAAGAUCACAGAAUCAGAGGAUGGUUGGGUUGUCUGGAGAUCAUCUAGACCAACUUCCCUCCAAGAAUUCUGUCCAGGCAGGUUUUGAGUAUCUCCCGAGAAAAGGAUUCCACAGCCUGUGUCAGUGCUCUGUCACCCUCCCAGUAGAGAACUUUUUCCUCAUAUUUGGGUGGCAUUUGUCAUGAUAAAUUUUGUGCUUGUUCCUUUUUCUGCCACUGGGCAGCACUGAGAGGUGUCUGUCCCUGCUACAUUUCUUUUAAAGUGGUUGAGUAAGCAAUAUUACUAAUUUUUAAACAAAAUGUAUCAAACCACAUUCCUUCUAACUUGAGUUACAACCCACACAUUUGUGAUCUAGGAGCAGUUUAUCUGAAAGAAUUUAGACAGACCCACAUGUAAGAUAUCCUUUUUUUGCCGCAGAACAAUCUGUUUAGGUAGAAGAUGUUUUAUUAGCAAGGUUUAGGAAAUCUGGAUGCUUCAUUAAUCCCCAUCUAUUGCUCUUUUGCAAGAAACUGACUCUUACUUGUAUUCUCAUUAGGCAUGUUCAUUCCACUACAUUUCAAGAAAGGGAAAGCCUUGUUCUUCCCACUGAAAUCACAUCUCUGGACAGUCCUAGUAGAAAACUGUGAAUUUAGAUAUAUGUCAGGUAUUUUUUUAAGGACUCUUUUGAAUUCAUACACUAUUUAUUUUAAUGCUAAAAGAAUUAUAAGCAAGCAGUUCCUUAUUCAGACAGUCAGGAUGACUUUGCACUAAGAACAAGGAAUUACCGUUUAAUAAAAAAUUUUGUUUGGUACUUUUAGUCCUUAAAAAAACCCCCACCACAAUACUGGUUGCAAUAGCUUAACUGAUUUCAGUGAUGUUCUUUUUCUUAGGAUAAAGCAGUGACAUUUUUAUACAAAUAAAGGAGAUUCCACUUCUUUGCCAUUACUUUUCUAUUUGUUAUUUCAGAAAAUUACAUUAUAUAUCAGCCUCCGUGUUUCAUACACCCUGGGAUUCAUCGAUCUGUAUUAGGGUAGAUUUCCUAAAUACAGAUGUCAGCCAUGGAAGAAGACAUACUCACUUUUCAUAUUUCUAUGAAAUAAAAGGAAUUAUGCAACAUAACUCUUCAAAUCUGCGAGAUAAAUACUUAAAACAUCUCUGUACUCUGAUUUUCCACAUUGAUUUGCAAAGGAGACUUCACACUUGCAUGUGUAACUUUUAAGAUUCUAAAGUUAAGUGAGAUGAUUCUCUCUUUAAGUUGGAAAUUAUCACUUUAAACUAAUUACAGCUUUGUAGCACAUCUGAGAAAGCAGAGAAUCCAUAUGUUCAUGAAAUUCAUUUUCAAUUUACAGAUUUGUAAAAUAGUAGCAACUUGUAUUAAUUUUCCUUUAUAGAAGAAGUAUUUCUCAAUUUAUUCUUAUCAUGAAUGGAAUAGAUAAAGAGAUUAAAUACAUCCGUUCUAUUGAUAAAAACCUCAAAGUAAAAUGAUCCCCUCUUUUUUUUUCCUACUUUUUGUAAAGGGCUUUUCAAAACCUUUAAUAUUUAGUUUAGGUUUGUUGUAGAAAUGAUAUACUUAGUAUAUAAAACAUUAAUAAUUGUUUAUAAUAGGUACCACCUUUCUGUCCACUGUGUUUAAACAUUCUGGGGCUUCUAAAGGAUUAAAAAUGGAAGAUGAUUCCGUGAAUUGAAAAAAGUGUGUCCUUUCAAAAUGGUUAUUUAUGAAAUUUAGAAUUUCUGAAUCAUUUUAUCUUCUGUGAAAUCCUUUAUAACAUUUUUCUCCCCUCUUCUCUCAUGGUAAAGUUCAAUCCUGUGUUGAAUCUCUCCGAAUCAACUGGAGGCAAAUUAUAAGUAGUGGCAUGGUAAAAAAGUUGGGUUUUGUUUUUUUUUUUUUGGUUUGGUUUUUUUUUUUCCCAAAUACCUAUCUUUAGAUAGUUUAGGCUUAUACCCAGAAUAUGAGAAUUUUUUUUUUUUGGUGUGUAAAAUGGACAUAUGAUAGCUAGAUGUUUGUGUUAUUAUUAUUUCACGUUGGAGCUGAAAACUCUGUUGGGAUUUCAGGUACAUGUACAAUUUAAGAAAAUGUACUAAUGAUUUAGGGACAAACCUAAGCCAUUACUCAGGGACAAUUCAUGAUGCCAAGGGGUAAAUAAUUCAAUCACAUUACUGGUACUUGUAUCAUCUUCAAAUAGUUUCCUUUUAUUUUAAGUAGGAAUUUUGAUCCUUGAGGAGCAACAAGCAAUUUCUUUGUUCCUUUGUUAUGCAUAUAAAUUUACUGGGGGGAUGGAGGUGGGGAGGGGGAAGGAAGGGGAAGUAUCUCUAACGACAGAUAAGUAUUGCAUUCUCUGCCUUGACAGCAUUGACUAAAAUUUCUUUCCCAGAAUUCAUUCCUGGAAUAUUAUAGCUUUUGUAUGUACUUCUAGUAAACAUAAUUAAACAAUAAUUAAAUAUUUCUAGCUGUGCUGUUCAUCAAAAAGAAGCAGAGAUAAAAAAUGUUUUCUGCAAUUAGUAAUUUGAGUUGAUCCUUUCAUAAUUUAGUUCUGACACCUGCUCAGACAGAAACCAAAUUUAAUCUAGAAGUAAUUUUCCUGUACAGUACUUUAUACUGGGAGAAAAAGCAUGAGGACAAGACUGUCUUUCAUGCAGAUGAGAAGCCAUGGGAGAGACAUACAUCAUACAAAGAAGAUAAGCAUGGGUGCAAUGGAUUUAAACAAGAGCCUGUCUGAAAUUUUAAAAUCUUGGAAAAGCAGAAGCUGUGUUCACAGUGUGGUUCAAAGACAAAGCAGAACAUUAAUUUAAUAGGAGGUGGAAACUUCUGUAAAGAUGGGGAUGAAAUCUACAAGAAAAGUCUUGCUGACUGUGUUGUGUCAUUGGGUUGAACUUCUACAUGCAAAUCAAAUGCCAUGUAAUCAUACUGAGACCAUCAUUAAAAAAUGAAAUCAAAUUCCAUUAUAAAGGAAAAGGUGACCCAAAGACUCUUAGACUACAUUUCAGUACUUUACAUCCCUCAUGACCAAAAUCAUAAGUUUCAAAACAAAGGUUAGAAUUUGUGCUUAAAAAAAUUAUAUUUGCUGGUGUGUACUUGACUUUUUUUUUUUUUUUUUUUAAGUGAAAGCUAGAGUUUUACUCCAGAGCUAAAGGGGCUGGGAAUAACUAACAGCACCAACUGUCCAUUAUAGGCAGUGGUUCUUUUUCCAAUACCAACCUUAUCCUUAAAUACUUGCCUGUGUUUUGCCUAUUUUUCCAAAAAUAUGUUUCCAAUUUUUACUGUUUUCAUAAUGGUAAUUAUUUUAUACUCCAUAUCAACCAUUACACAUAAUUUAUAUUAGAGUAAGGAGGAACCCUGCAAAAUAUGUACAGAAGUGUCUUUGUCACCAAGUCAUCUUACACAAAGAGAAAGAAACACUGUUUAAAAGGGAAAGCCCUUCUGCACAUGGAAUUGGGUAUUUGAGAUGGUUGUAAUUUUUAGAAAAAUACAAGAAUAUGUAAGUAUAUAUACCUUCUUUUAGUGUCACAUAUAUUUUUUAAAAAAUUUUUGGUUCUAUAAACUUGUAUUUACUUACUAAUAUUUUGACUAAAUGAUGGUAGUAGCAAAAGAAUGGAAAGUAUUAAACAUUGUAAUAUAUUUCUCAGUCCGUUUUGACAGCAAUCAUGGAAGAACAGCCAUGAGCUAAAUGCUUUCCCAAAUCUUCUGCCUCUCCUCUGUUCUUCUGCCUGGGUAGCAUGUGGAACUUAGAGCUUACAAAGUCUCUUGAUGACUUUGCCUGUAUUGGUUCCUGCAGUAUCUGCCUCACUCUUUGCUUUGUGAAUAUAUAUGACUUUGGGACAUUCCUGAAAUGUAAUGUAUAUCUGAGUAGAAUUCAUCAAUAUGACAUUUAAAAUGACCAAAUUCCAUGCUAUAUUCCCAGUGUUAGAGCAAGAACAGUGAGAAUAAAACAAGAAAAUUCUAAAUAAAAUAAUGGUUUUUUUCAAUUGAGACAAUUUUGUAAAGGAGCCAAUUUUCAAGUCUGUGAGCCAUUUUCAAUUAAUUUGUCUUUCAAAAAAAA